GACGAACGCUGGCGGCGUGCUUAACACAUGCCAGUCGAACGGAAAGGCCCCCACUUUUUUGGUGGGGGUGCUCGAGUGGCGAACGGGUGAGUAACACGUGGGUGAUCUGCCCUGUACUUCGGGAUAAGCUUGGGAAACUGGGUCUAAUACCGGAUAGGACCAUGGUUUAGUGUCUCAUGGUGGAAAAAUUAUUGUUUUGGUGCAGGAUGAGCUCGCGGCCUAUCAGCUUGUUGGUGGGGUAAUGGCCUACCAAGGCGUCGACGGGUAGCCGGCCUGAGAGGGUGGACGGCCACAUUGGGACUGAGAUACGGCCCAGACUCCUACGGGAGGCAGCAGUGGGGAAUAUUGCACAAUGGGCGCAAGCCUGAUGCAGCGACGCCGCGUGGGGGAUGACGGCCUUCGGGUUGUAAACUCCUUUCGUUAGGGACGAAGCCGCACCUUUUUUGGGUGUGGUGACGGUACCUUUGUUAAGAAGCACCGGCUAACUACGUG
rnacentral:rRNA from 1 species